rnacentral:rRNA from 1 species
GACGAACGCUGGCGGCGUGCCUAAUACAUGCAAGUCGAACGCAGUGGGGACGGGUGCGUAACACGUGGGUAACCUCCCAUCAGAGGGGAUAACCCUUGGAAACAGGUGCUAAACCGAUACUGAUGGAUGGACCCGCGGUGCAUUAGCUAGUUGGUGAGGUAACGGCGCACCAAGGCCACGAUGCAUAGCGGCCCUGAGAGGGGGAUCGGCCACACUGGGACUGGGAAACGGCCCAGAUUCCUACGGGAGGCAGAAGUAGGAAUAUUUCGGAAAUGGACGAAAGUCUGACCAAGCAACGCCGGGUGAGGGAAGAAGGUUUUCGGAUCGUAAAACUCUGUGGUUAGAGAAGCGGAAUCGAACAAGAAAGCCACGGCUAACUACGUGCCAGCGGCGGCGGUAAUC